rnacentral:tRNA from 1 species
CGCGGUCUGCAGCGUGGUCGCGAUCGAGGCCGGGUCGACCCCGGCGGCGGCCAGCUUCGCGUAGUCCAGCGUGAUCGUGACGCGCGGCUGCUGC